rnacentral:rRNA from 1 species
UACGGAGGGGGCUAGCGUUGUUCGGAUUUACUGGGCGUAAAGGGCGCGUAGGCGGCGGGUCAAGUCGAGUGUGAAAGCCCCGGGCUCAACCUGGGAGGUGCGCUCGAGACUGGUCUGCUAGAGUUCGGGAGAGGAGCGUGGAAUUCCCAGUGUAGAGGUGAAAUUCGUAGAUAUUGGGAAGAACACCGGUGGCGAAGGCGGCGCUCUGGACCGAGACUGACGCUGAGGCGCGAAAGCGUGGGGAGCAAACAGG